CUGCUUCCUAGUUCAGUGCUGCCCAUUGUGCAACACCUAUGUUCAACGUUUCCAUAGAGAUGCGAUGAAUCAAUGCAUCUGUAUGAGGAGAUGCUGAUUGGCGUAUAUUCUUAAAAAUGAGACCAAGGAUCACACACACAUGGGAUUGAAUUUCUAAACAGUGAUUCAUGGCAAGCUGACAACCAACUCGCAUAAAUGAAG